rnacentral:rRNA from 1 species
UACGGAGGAUCCAAGCGUUAUCCGGAUUUAUUGGGUUUAAAGGGUGCGUAGGCGGCUUAUUAAGUCAGGGGUGAAAGACGGUGGCUCAACCAUCGCAGUGCCUUUGAUACUGAUGAGCUUGAAUAUACUUGAGGUAGGCGGAAUGUGACAAGUAGCGGUGAAAUGCAUAGAUAUGUCACAGAACACCGAUUGCGAAGGCAGCUUACCAAGGUAUGAUUGACGCUGAGGCACGAAAGCGUGGGGAUCAAACAGG